rfam:Populus trichocarpa scaffold_14_contig_154, whole genome shotgun sequence.
ACAAAACCUUGAGCUAAGAUUUGGACUGUAGGACAAAUUCUGACUUUUCCAUUGUUGCUAAGAUUUGGACUUCCAAAUAGCAUAAUUGAGUCUUGGACUCCCAUGAAUGUUUUAGGCCUAUGUCUUAGCUUUCUAGC